AAACUGAAGAGUUUGAUCAUGGCUCAGAUUGAACGCUGGCGGCAUGCCUAAUACAUGCAAGUCGAACGGUAACAGGCCCGCAAGGGCGCUGACGAGUGGCGGACGGGUGAGUAAUACAUAGGAAUUUGUCCAGUAGAUGGGGGAUAACUUAGGGAAACUUAAGCUAAUACCGCGUAAGCCCUACGGGGGAUAGUGGGGGACUUCUUCGGAAGCCUCACGAUAUUGGUUAAGCCUAUGUCAGAUUAGCUAGUUGGUAGGGUAAAGGCCUACCAAGGCAACGAUCUGUAGCUGGUCUGAGAGGACGAUCAGCCACACUGGGACUGAGACACGGCCCAGACUAGCAGUAGGGAAUAUUGGACAAUGGGCGAAAGCCUGAUCCAGCAAUGCCGCGUGUGUGAAGAAGGCCUGCGGGUUGUAAAGCACUUUCGGUGGGAAAGAAAAGCUCAAGGCUAAUACCCUUGAGUCUUGACGUUACCCAAAUAAGAAGCACCGGCUAACUCUGUGCCAGCAGCCGCGGUAAUACAGAGGGUGCGAGCGUUAAUCGGAAUUACUGGGCGUAAAGCGUGCGCAGGUGGUUAAAUCAGUUGGAUGUGAAAGCCCCGGGCUUAACUUGGGAAUGGCAUUCAAUACUAUUUGACUAGAGUAUGGUAGAGGGAAGUGGAAUUCCCGGUGUAGCGGUGAAAUGCGUAGAUAUCGGGAGGAACAUCAGUGGCGAAGGCGGCUUCCUGCUGGACCAAUACUGACACUCAGGCACGAAAGCGUGGGGAGCAAACAGGAUUAGAUACCCUGGUAGUCCACGCCCUAAACGAUGAGAACUAGAUGUUGGAGGAGUCAAUCCUUUAGUAUCGUAGCUAACGCGUUAAGUUCUCCGCCUGGGGAGUACGGCCGCAAGGCUCAAAUGAAUUGACGGGGGCCCGCACAAGCGGUGGAGCAUGUGGUUUAAUUCGAUGCAACGCGAAGAACCUUACCUGGCCUUGACAUCCUUGGAACCCUGUAGAGAUACGGGGGUGCCUUCGGGAACCAAGAGACAGGUGCUGCAUGGCUGUCGUCAGCUCGUGUCGUAAGUAACUUGCGACCUAUAGGAGUGAUCCUAUAGAAAAAUCUAGCUUAUAACGGUGGAACCCUAACAGAAUAACGCUGAGGGCAAUACCGUGGGAAGUUCAUUACAUAAUGUAUAUAACCCCGUAACGACUUCGAUAUUUUAUCGGGAUAACAAUUAUUGCCUUGAAUAGAGGUAAAUUUAGGAUUGUUAUAAUACGCUAGCUCUUACUUUAGUAAGAUGAAGAUAUAGUCUAAACCCUUAAGAAAUUUUGGGAGUUAUUUGGAGAUGUUGGGUUAAGUCCCGCAACGAGCGCAACCCUUGUCUUUAGUUGCCAGCACUUCGGGUGGGAACUCUAAAGAGACUGCCGGUGACAAACCGGAGGAAGGUGGGGACGACGUCAAGUCAUCAUGGCCCUUAUGGCCAGGGCUACACACGUGCUACAAUGGGUAGUACAGAGGGUCGCGAACCUGCGAAGGGGAGCUAAUCUCGUAAAACUACUCGUAGUCCGGAUUGGAGUCUGCAACUCGACUCCAUGAAGUCGGAAUCGCUAGUAAUCGCGGAUCAGCAUGUCGCGGUGAAUACGUUCCCG
rnacentral:rRNA from 1 species